CACACAUUUGUGUCACUUCUUGAAACCAAAACUGCUCCAAUCACGCUUUUCACAAACUGGCACAAAAGUGAAGAUGUGUGUCAGUUCGUGGUGCAGAUGACGAUAUGCACCCAAUACCCAAAUUCCGAUGAAAAUUUUAAUGCCUUCAUUUGAUUUUGGCUUAUUUUUUCUUUUUUUGAAGUGUAAAAUGAACUCUAUUUAAAAUGAAAUGAAUAUCUCUUGCCCUUUUUCACAGAAAACUACACGUGCAAAGAAAAUAAAGGCUGUGAAGGUUGUGGUCCAGGAGAAAAUGCAACUAAGGCAAAGAAGAAAAAGGCUGCAAGAGUUGUUUGCAGAGGGGCGGGACCAUUGAAACCACUCUGCAGCAUAACAAAUAUGGUAUGGAAUCUAGGUGCACCAAGUCUAGACGAGGAAAUCCCCAUGGAAGUGGAACCCCAAGACCACAAGGAACCUCAAGACCACCCGGAACCACAGACCAGCAGGAACCCACAGACCCGCAGGAAUCCACAGACCAUCAGGAACCCGCCAACCUGCAAGGACCUGUACGUUUUUUACUUGCAUGUAGCUUGAUUGUAAGUCAUGCCCCUGCUUGAAGACUGUGGAGGAGGUAACAAAACUGGCCCUUGGCAACAGGAAGUUGCUAGAGGAAAACAACAGGCUUCUUCAGCUCCUCCUGAAGGAAAAAAGUAGUGGCACUACUAGUAUCCAGAGUAUGAGUUCAGACUACGUACAAAUCCAGACUAUACCGACCAUUGAGGGUAUUCAGGCAGGUAAUGAUGAGUCAUUAAUUUCACCAGAAAAAAUCAUGUAAAUCUUCAACAAGCAAUCCUCAAUUCCUAAUUGUGCAUUAAUUUUGAUAAGGAAACUGUUUACUGAGUCAGAGAUGGUGAGAUCCAACUGUAGGGGGGUCAGGGGGAAGGAUGCGUUAGAUCCUCCUAGAUUGACAUUUGUCAAGGAUAUCGUGGAGAAGUACGUUUUGAUACCCAAGCAGGAGUAUGAGGUUUAUUGGAACAAAAAGUGUGUAACUGCUCUUGACGAAAGAUGCAGAAGGCUGUGCAGGAAGCCCAAAGGAGACAUUUAAAAAGAUCCAGUGAAGAGGGGGUACAAAAAAAUUCUGGCUUGCAAAUUAGAGUAAAAACCAAAGAAACAUGCUCAGUGUCUGGAUUUAUGAAAAAAGGGGGCAGGAGGGGCUUUUUUUUUCAAGAUGGCCGGCAUUACUUUUACAAAAUCACACUGUGGAUUUUCCAUUGUUAAAAUGAGAGACAUCAAGCACGGUGAAAAAAAAAGUGUUUAGUCUUUUUUAAUAUUUUAGGGGCUGUACAUGUAUG